GAUGAACGCUGGCGGCGUGCCUAAUACAUGCAAGUCGAGCGAACGGACGAGAAGCUUGCUUUUCUGAUGUUAGCGGCGGACGGGUGAGUAACACGUGGAUAACCUACCUAUAAGACUGGGAUAACUUCGGGAAACCGGAGCUAAUACCGGAUAAUAUUUUGAACCGCAUGGUUCAAAAGUGAAAGACGGUCUUGCUGUCACUUAUAGAUGGAUCCGCGCUGCAUUAGCUAGUUGGUAAGGUAACGGCUUACCAAGGCAACGAUGCAUAGCCGACCUGAGAGGGUGAUCGGCCACACUGGAACUGAGACAUGGUCCCGACUCCUACGGGAGGCAGCAGUAGGGAAUCUUCCGCAAUGGGCGAAAGCCUGACGGAGCAACGCCGCGUGAGUGAUGAAGGUCUUCGGAUCGUAAAACUCUGUUAUUAGGGAAGAACAUAUGUGUAAGUAACUGUGCACAUCUUGACGGUACCUAAUCAGAAAGCCACGGCUAACUACGUG
rnacentral:rRNA from 1 species